rnacentral:siRNA from 1 species
UGAUUUAACUUCCGCGAA